rnacentral:rRNA from 1 species
GACGAACGCUGGCGGCGUGCUUAACACAUGCAAGUCGAACGGAAAGGCCCCUUUGGGGGUACUCGAGUGGCGAACGGGUGAGUAACACGUGAGUAACCUGCCCUUGACUUCGGGAUAACUUCAGGAAACUGGGGCUAAUACCGGAUAGGAAUCCUUGCUGCAUGGUGGGGGUUGGAAAGCUUCGGCGGUUUUGGAUGGACUCGCGGCUUAUCAGCUUGUUGGUGGGGUAGUGGCUUACCAAGGCUUUUACGGGUAGCCGGCCUGAGAGGGCGACCGGCCACAUUGGGACUGAGAUACGGCCCAGACUCCUACGGGAGGAAGAAGUGGGGAAUAUUGCACAAUGGGCGGAAGCCUGAUGCAGCAACGCCGCGUGCGGGAUGACGGCCUUCGGGUUGUAAACCGCUUUCAGCAGGGGCGAAGCUUGUGGUGACGGUACCUGCAGAAGAAGCACCGGCUAACUACGUG